UACGUAGGGUGCGAGCGUUAAUCGGAAUUACUGGGCGUAAAGUGUGCGCAGGCGGCCGCGCAAGUCGAGUGUGAAAGCCCCGGGCUUAACUCGGAACGGUCAGAUGAUACUGCUUUGCUAGAGUGCGGAAGGGGCAAUCGGAAUUCUUGGUGUAGCGGUGAAAUGCGUAGAUAUCAAGAGGAACACCUGAGGUGAAGACGGGUUGCUGGGCCGACACUGACGCUGAGUGCGCGAAAGCCAGGGGAGCAAACGGG
rnacentral:rRNA from 1 species